rnacentral:rRNA from 1 species
UACCAGCACCCCCGAGUGGUCGGGACGAUUAUUGGGCCUAAAGCAUCCGUAGCCGGUCCUACAAGUCUUCCGUUAAAUCCACCUGCUUAACAGAUGGGCUGCGGAAGAUACUAUAAGGCUAGGAGGCGGGAGAGGCAAGCGGUACUCAGUGGGUAGGGGUAAAAUCCUCUGAUCCAUUGAAGACCACCAGUGGCGAAGGCGGCUUGCCAGAACGCGCUCGACGGUGAGGGAUGAAAGCUGGGGAGCAAACCGG